rnacentral:rRNA from 1 species
UUAAUACAUGCAAGUCGAACGGGAUUCGGGGUAGCAAUACUUUGAUGAGAGUGGCGCACGGGUGCGUAACGCGUAUGCAACCUACCUUUAACAGGGGAAUAGCCCCGAGAAAUCGGGAUUAAUACUCCGUAACAUUGCGGUGUGGCAUCACACUGCACUUAAAGCUGAGGCGGUUAAAGAUGGGCAUGCGUGACAUUAGCUAGUUGGUGAGGUAACGGCUCACCAAGGCAACGAUGUCUAGGGGUCCUGAGAGGGUUAUCCCCCACACUGGUACUGAGACACGGACCAGACUCCUACGGGAGGCAGCAGUAAGGAAUAUUGGUCAAUGGGCGCAAGCCUGAACCAGCCAUGCCGCGUGCAGGAAGACGGCCCUAUGGGUUGUAAACUGCUUUUGUCAGGGAAUAAACCCCCGCUCGUGAGCGGGGCUGAAGGUACCUGAAGAAUAAGCAUCGGCUAACUCCGUGCCAGCAGCCGCGGUAAUACGGAGGAUGCAAGCGUUAUCCGGAUUCAUUGGGUUUAAAGGGUGCGCAGGCGGAUUGGUAAGUCAGGGGUGAAAUCCCACAGCUCAACUGUGGAACUGCCUUUUGAUACUGUCAGUCUAGAGUAUAGUUGAAGUUGGCGGAAUGUGUCAUGUAUCGGUGAAAUGCUUAGAUAUGACACAGAACACCGAUCGCGAAUGCAGCUAGCUAAGCUAUAACUGACGCUCAUGCACGAAAGCGUGGGAUCAAACAGGAU